GCCUACGGCCAUACCACCCUGAAAGCGCCCGAUCUCGUCUGAUCUCGGAAGCUAAGAAGGCAUGAGCCUGGUUAGUACCUGGAUGGGAGACCGCCUUGGAAUACCAGGUGUUGUAGGCU
rnacentral:rRNA from 1 species